rnacentral:rRNA from 1 species
ACGGGAGGCAGCAGUGAGGAAUAUUGGUCAAUGGGCGAGAGCCUGAACCAGCCAAGUAGCGUGCAGGAUGACGGCCCUAUGGGUUGUAAACUGCUUUUGUGCGGGAAUAACGUGCUCCACGUGUGGGGCAGUGCAUGUACCGUACGAAUAAGGAUCGGCUAACUCCGUGCCAGCAGCCGCGGUAAUACGGAGGAUCCGAGCGUUAUCCGGAUUUAUUGGGUUUAAAGGGAGCGUAGGCGGAAGGUCAAGUCAGCUGUGAAAUGUAGUCGCUCAACGUCUGCACUGCAGUUGAAACUGGUGUUCUUGAGUGCGUAAGAGGCAGGUGGAAUUCGUCGUGUAGCGGUGAAAUGCAUAGAUAUGACGAAGAACUCCGAUUGCGAAGGCAGCCUGCUGGGCCGCUACUGACGCUGAAGCUCGAAGGUGCGGGUAUCAAACAGGAUUAGAUACCCUGGUA